rnacentral:rRNA from 1 species
AAUCAUGGCUCAGGAUGAACGCUAGCUACAGGCUUAACACAUGCAAGUCGCGGGGCAGCAUGUUGUGUGCUUGCACACAAUGAUGGCGACCGGCGCACGGGUGAGUAACGCGUAUCCAACCUUCCCCUUAGUAGGGCAUAGCCCGGCGAAAGUCGGAUUAAUACCCUAUGUUCUUCGUAGAUGGCAUCUGAGACGAAGCAAAGGUUAGCGCUAAGGGAUGGGGAUGCGUCUGAUUAGGCAGUCGGCGGGGUAACGGCCCACCGAGCCAUCGAUCAGUAGGGGUUCUGAGAGGAAGGUCCCCCACAUUGGAACUGAGACACGGUCCAAACUCCUACGGGAGGCAGCAGUGAGGAAUAUUGGUCAAUGGGCGAGAGCCUGAACCAGCCAAGUAGCGUGCAGGACGACGGCCCUACGGGUUGUAAACUGCUUUUAUGCGGGGAUAAAGUGCCCUACGUGUAGGGUAUUGCAGGUACCGCAUGAAUAAGGACCGGCUAAUUCCGUGCCAGCCGCUGC